GGUCAGAUAGCUUAAUUGGUAGAGCAACACAUGCCGGUAUCAUUAGAUGGCCCAUGCGUGGUUUCGGGUUCGAAUCUCGAUCUGACCU
rnacentral:tRNA from 1 species